rnacentral:rRNA from 1 species
UACGUAGGGCGCAAGCGUUAUCCGGAAUUAUUGGGCGUAAAGAGCUCGUAGGCGGUUUGUCGCGUCUGCCGUGAAAGUCCGGGGCUCAACUCCGGAUCUGCGGUGGGUACGGGCAGACUAGAGUGAUGUAGGGGAGACUGGAAUUCCUGGUGUAGCGGUGAAAUGCGCAGAUAUCAGGAGGAACACCGGUGGCGAAGGCGCCACUCUGGGCCGGAACUGACGCUGAGGAGCGAAAGCGUGGGUAGCAAACAGG